GUCAUGAAAGCCUUCACCAGAUGGUCAAGCAGAUGCUGGUGCCAUGCCCUUGAACUUCCCACCACCAUCCCCCACCUAGCCACUAUAUGGGUUGUUAGAUAUUUUGACCACCUCCUCUUCGCUCACUCCACUAUUCAACUCACUGCAUCAUCAAUGUACUUAUUACAAACCUGUCACAAGCCAGGUCUUAUGCUAGGUGCUCCUCUCAACAGGUUCUUGAGCUGGCAGGGGAGAGAGAGACAUUCAAACACCAAGGAUUAAUAUACCAUUACAGGUUUAAAGACAGAGGCCUAUAAGGGUCCCCUGGCAGUGCCAUGGAGGUAGGGCAUGGUCGGCUGUACCUGUAGAGGUGUCUAAAGGGAGGCUUGCAAGCUGCCCCUUGAAGGACGAGCAGAAAAUUGUACAUGAGGACAAGUAGGAAAGGAAUUCCAGGAGGAGGGAUCAGCAUGUGCAAAGGCAUGGAGGUUGUCCAUAGAAUGUAGAGAGAAAAUAUUAAAACCUAUAUUUAUACUAA
rnacentral:lncRNA from 1 species